rnacentral:rRNA from 1 species
UACGGAGGCCCAAGCGUUGUUCGGAUUUAUUGGGCGUAAAGGGUGCGUAGGCGGCAUUGUAAGUCUGGUGUGAAAGGCGUGGGCUCAACCUGCGGACUGCAUUGGAUACUGCGAUGCUAGAGGACUGGAGAGGAGAAUGGAAUUCACGGUGGAGCAGUGAAAUGCGUAGAUAUCAGGAGGAACACCGGUGGUGUAGACGGCUUACUGGACCAUAACUGACGCUGAGACACGAAAGCGUGGGUAGCAAACAGG